UCCUCGGUAGCUCAGUUGGUAGAGCAGUUGACUGUUAAUCAAUUGGUCGUAGGUUCGAGUCCUACCCGAGGAGCCA
rnacentral:tRNA from 2 species